AUCUCUUCUCAGCCUUUUGGCUAAAAAAUCUAGUAUCUAUUCUUAUCAGUUUAAUAUCUGAUACAUCAUUUAUACAACAUUUUAAAAAAGAAAUAGAAUGACAAACUGGAGUGACAGUACAGGGGUUUAGACAUUUGGCUUGCAUUGUGACCAAUUCCAGUUUGAUCCUCAGUGCUGCAUAU